rnacentral:lncRNA from 1 species
GGGGGGUCUCUGCCUUGGUGCAAGGAGGGUCACCAUGGCCGCGCGGUGAGGUACUCCCCGAGGCAGCCGCAAUUCCUCGCGGGAUCCAGAACCAGCCGGGACCACGCCGCUCGGGAGCAACACGUUUUCCCAUCGCCAUUCGUUGGUAUGGUGCUUACUAUCCAGUUUUUCAUAGUCUUCUCUCUCUAUUUCGCGGGACCAUGCACGAUUUAGAUCACUACGGCGGUGUUUGGGGAUGAACCGCGGCGAGCUUGUCGCCGUGUGGUGUGCAGCGCCACCGCGAUGCUGUGCCAGGGAAGAAGAAGAUGGCGCAUUCGUUGAUCUUCGCGCGAACGGGCGAGAUUAGAAGUAGGGUAGCGAUUCACCGAGUUAAAUCCUAGCCGUUCGACUGUGGAUGGACGUAUGUGAUGGGAUCGCGUAGUAUUGAACUCGUGGCCGUUAGAUCUGGAUCCUAAGGUUUAGAUCGUGUACCGGUUCACUUAAAUGGGCGCUAUAAUCUGGGGCGUUCGCUCGUGAUCCAACAGCUGAUGCGUAUCCGUACCCCUUCGACCACUCUAGUUUGCUAAAGAGCCCCCGCAGUUUAUACAAAAUAACCCGCCGUCCUGUAGAAUAGUUCUGUGUCUUGGGAAAACUUGCACCGAGGCCCCCAAGUUUCUUUGUUUUCAUGCGCCCAGUUCAGAUACCUUAGGAUAUUCAUGAUUAAAUUAGAAAAUGAUUUUUUGGUAUAAAAGUAAUGCUAGAAACUUGUAUAAUUCAAAUUUAAUUCAUAUGAAGUCCAAAUUAGUCCAUUCUAGUUCCUAUAAUUUUGUAUUAAUAUUGUGUAAAACUUAGUGUCUCUGUUUUGCCAUGAAAAUAGUAAUAAAAUUGAUUUCUUAAUUAAUCUUAUGCGAGGCACAUAAAACCUUCGGAAAGUCAUAACUCACAAUCCGUAACUCUAAUUUGAUCCGUUCAAGUUGUGUUAGUCCCGUACAAAUAUUUACUAUGCAAUAACAACAUUUAUUAUACCAUGUCUCAUUCUUUUCUAAUUAUAUCUUUAUUUAACUUAUGUUGGUUAGUCUUGUUAAUGUGCUCAUCAUUAUUGACCAAAAUAUAAUUUAUGGUAAUUUAUAACUUGGAUUAAAGUUGAGAUAACUAUUUAUAGAAUAAUUUCUCAUAUGAUCUAUACUAACUAAUUUAUAAUAUAGCUUAAUAUUUUAAUCACACGGAUCUUCUAUAAAACCAUAACUCCUUAAUCAUUACUCUGAUCUUAGUAGUUCUCGAUCCCACGAUCUCGUAGCAACGCGUAGAUCAUUAUUAUGCAGUAUGUUCUUAUGUUUGGUGUGAUGUUAAUUUUGUCUAUACCAUGUAUGUUUGUAUUGCUACGACUAGCAGUGCGGUCAUGUGGAUCCGAAGAAUCACCCUAGUAACUGGAAUCUCAAGUGCCAGGCAAGUUAUGCCCUUGAUCCACUUUUGUUACUCAAUAAUAUUCUUUAUUAUCACUAUUCAAUGCAUAGGUUUAAUUUUGAUGGGACCCAAUAGGUCACCCUAGUCUAUUUAUCCUAUUUUCCUUGUUUACCCCUGAUUCACUUGGGUAGUUAUGCUAUUGCAUUAUAUGGUUUUGGGUUAAUAUUUCAUUAUAUCCAUGUCCCAAUGAUUCUGUUAUUUUACUUAUGUUCAUGUCAAGAUCAUUAAAUGCUAAACUGGCGACAUGGGAUACACGACUUGUGGGUACAGGGUACAACCUCUGCAGAUUGUAAAACUGGUAUACUAGCCGAGCUCACGGUCAAGAGCAGCUUAGGACUUGUCAUUUGCAUUUGCAUGGGUUUAUUAUUAAUUUUGUUCUGUUAUUAUUAUUAUGGUUUGGUAUUUACUUACAUCUAGUAAUUGCUAAUAAAAUUUGACCAACUUAUUAAAAGCAAUGCUCAACUUUAACCUUUACUGUUGAUCAGCCUUACACAUCACAUGAACUCCCACCUUUGGUGAGUUCAUGCACACUGGUUCCCCACAACUUGUUGAGCUAUGAUCAUGUGUGAGCUCACCCUUGUUGUCUCACACCCCCCAUAGGAGAAGAACAGGUGGUUCAAGAUGUCGGUGUUUUGGGUCCGACCGCACACCCGGGGUUGCCCCUCAAGGUGUUUUAGGAGUAGGACGGUGUCGCCGACUGUAGCCUAAUGGUUCGUGCCAGAUGCACGAGGAACAAUGAACAGUGUUUAUAGGUUCGGGCCGCUUCGAGAUGCGUAACACCCUACGUCCUGGCGAGUACGCUUUGUGUAAUGGGUUACAAGGUAGCUCUUUGAAGUUAGAGCGUAGAGAGAUGAGGUGGAUGGCUGAGUAAUAAUGGGAUCGAUCGUUCUGAAGGGGUGCCCCCUAGGCCUUAUAUAUUCGACCGUGGGGAGAUACAUGUGGAUACGAUAACAAUGUACACCUACAAGAUAGUGAACCGUUUUAGUCUAUCUUCCUAUGAUUCUGCCGACUUAUCCUCGCCUGGUUCCGUCGUACGGGGCUCCAGCGCGGGAAAUUCGGAUCUUCUGUUGCGGUCGCUUGCUCAACGCUGUGGGGCCAUCCGGGUUUGCGCCAACCCGGCCUUAUGUCGAUCUGCUUCACUGGUCGUUCCUCCCCAGGCCCAUGAAGGAGUGACCUCACGGGUUAUUGGGCCCUUGGGCCUUUCGUGAGGUCUUUUAUCCUUCCAGUGGACCCGAGGGAUAUCUGUCCCCCACAAGCCCCCGAUCUUCGGGCUGAUUUUGAGAUAAUCAGCCCAAAGAUCCUAGGUCCAACUUGCGGUCUUUGUUUAUGAUAAGAAAUGCUUUCCAAGCAGUCUGGUAAAAAUGAUUUUUUAUUGUCUCCUUCUGCUUUGAUCACUCGUAAACUGGAGCCUUGUUUCAUGCUUGUGCCUUAGAGGUCGGCAUUUCAUUUUGUAGGACCCUAAACUUCAUUGGGUGCACUGGAGGUGCACCCAAUGGGUGUAGCCCCGAGCUUCGAGUGGAUUUUGGAAAAUAAUCCUCUCGAAGGUCUUCAUCAGAGAUUAUUUUUAUUUUCCACUUGCACUUUGGUUGAGGGUCAAUUUUGCCUUAUGCCUUAGAAAUUGGUGUUGUCUUCUCUUGAAAUGGUGAUUCAUUGGGUGCACCGGAGGUGCACCCAAUGGGUGUAGCCCCCGAGCUUCGAGUGGAUUUUUGAAGAUAAUCCAUUCGAAGGUCUUCAUUUCGUGUCUUUUUGCUGAGGGUCAUCUUUUCUUUUUUCGGGUGCCUUAGAAGUCGGCAUUAUGUCAUCCAUAUUAUGCUUUAGAGGUCAGCAUUAUGUCAUCAAUAUUAUGCUUCAGAGGUCAGCAUGUAUUUUGUCUUUUGCAGCCGAGCUCGUGAUCCGCCCAUAUCUUGCUAGGUGGUGCAAUUUAUUUGCUCUGCGACUGAUUGGACAUUUGAUGGACGUUCCCUGGCUAGUCUUCACGUCGCUUCUGUCGGUCAGAUUUUGUACUUCAUCGGCUAUAUUUGGCUUUCCUUUGAUCCUUACUGAUAUCUCAUUUUUGUCUUGAGGUAUUCAUUGCAUGCCCUGCAUGGAUGUGACAGUUUUGAAAAAUAUACUGAUAAUUCCUGGGCAUCCCCCCAAUGGGUGUGGGCAAGGGACGGCUUGGUACGCUGAGUGUUUUAGCCGGCUGCUUCUGAGUAGUAAUGUGAUGUGACGGCGGGCGUAAUCAUAUCAUCCGCGUUGUUGACUGGAGUCCCAAUGGGUGUUGCGUUGCGUGAAACGACGUCAGCCGCCUGACGUAUCUUUAGACGGGUUGAAGUGUGUAUUGAAUGCUUCGCGACUGUUCAGCGGCCG